rnacentral:rRNA from 1 species
AAUAGAUACCCCGGUAGUCCACGCCGUAAACGAUGACGUGCUAAGUGUUAGGGGGUUUCCCGCCCCUUAGUGCUGGCAGCUAACGCAUUAAGCACUCCGCCUGGGGAGUACGGUCGCAAGACUGAAACUCAAAGGAAUUGACGGGGGGCCCGCACAAGCGGUGGAGCAUGUGGUUUAAUUCGAAGCAACGCGAAGAACCUUACCAGGUCUUGACAUCCCAUUGACCGCUAUGGAGACAUAGCUUUCCCUUCGGGGACAGUGGUGACAGGUGGUGCAUGGUUGUCGUCAGCUCGUGUCGUGAGAUGUUGGGUUAAGUCCCGCAACGAGCGCAACCCUUGUUCUUAGUUGCCAUCAUUUAGUUGGGCACUCUAAGGAGACUGCCGGUGACAAACCGGAGGAAGGUGGGGAUGACGUCAAAUCAUCAUGCCCCUUAUGACCUGGGCUACACACGUGCUACAAUGGACGGUACAAACGGUUGCCAACCCGCGAGGGGGAGCUAAUCCGAUAAAACCGUUCUCAGUUCGGAUUGUAGGCUGCAACUCGCCUACAU